rnacentral:rRNA from 1 species
AAUCACCUACGGGGGGCAGCAGUGAGGAAUAUUGGUCAAUGGGCGCGAGCCUGAACCAGCCACGUCGCGUGAGGGAUGACGGCCCUACGGGUUGUAAACCUCUUUUGUCGGGGAGCAAAUUCCGUUACGUGUAACGGAGUCGAGAGUACCCGAAGAAAAAGCAUCGGCUAACUUCGUGCCAGCAGCCGCGGUAAUACGGAGGAUGCGAGCGUUAUCCGGAUUUAUUGGGUUUAAAGGGUGCGUAGGCGGACUGUCAA